AUCGAAGGGUCUCUGAUUUACUUCAUAUUAAUUAUUUAAUUCAUUAAUUUUGAACCACUUGAAUAUUUGGCAAAUAAUAUUGAAAAAUUAUAAAUAUUGUUACUUAAAAGUUCACCUCACUCGUCCUAGAACUACUCCUAUGUUAACACGCUUAACUCUCUUAAUCUUUUGGGCCUAGCCAUCACCCAAAAUACUUAAGUCAGGCUAAAAGUUUUAGUCCUAUUAUUUCUUAUAUAUAGAGCUAUCUGGGAUCUCACAAAAUCAAAUAUCGAUCAUAUCAUCCAAAGUGUCGUAGAAGUAAAUAGUUCUAGAAGUAUUCUAGCAUUAUUUUGUUCAUUUUAGGUCUGAGUAUUAAUUGUCUGCUACAUUACAUUAUUUUGAGUGUUUGAUAGUUUAUGUGUGGCAUGAAUGAGAUGCGCGUUGAAGCUUGAGCCUAGGUGUACUUCUUUCUUGUCACUGAGGGCAUUGGUGCGACGGAAAGUUUUUUUUGGGAGUGUGCACCAAAUGACGCGACUACCGACAUCAGCAAAAGGAAUCAGGCUGAUUGAAGUACUCAGUCUCUUUUCUCCUAUAUAGGCUCCAUUUAGAUACCCUUUAAAACAUAGCAUAGUUAAAUUAUACUAUACUAGUAAGAGUAUUAUAUAUCCUAUAAAGUCUUUAGCACAGACAAAAGAUCACCUAUUUUUUGGAGUAUAGUCAAGCUAUACUCCAUAAAAUGAAGUAAAAUAAUUAUCCGCUCCAAUCAAAGGAAAAAAAUUCCAUCAAUCUUGGGCUCCCUCACCUGCAAGAUAUGCCAAGUGUAAACCCCAAAAUGUGUCAAAGUUUAAACUUUAAAUUUUAAAAUUU
rnacentral:lncRNA from 1 species